rnacentral:rRNA from 1 species
CCUACGGGCGGCAGCAGUCGAGAAUCAUUCACAAUGGGGGAAACCCUGAUGGUGCGACGCCGCGUGGGGGAAUGAAGGUCUUCGGAUUGUAAACCCCUGUCAUGUGGGAGCAAAUUAAGAAGAUAGUACCACAAGAGGAAGAGACGGCUAACUCUGUGCCAGCAGCCGCGGUAAUACAGAGGUCUCAAGCGUUGUUCGGAAUCACUGGGCGUAAAGCGUGCGUAGGCUGUUUCGUAAGUCGUGUGUGAAAGGCGCGGGCUCAACCCGCGGACGGCACAUGAUACUGCGUGACUAGAGUAAGGGAGGGGGAACCGGAAUUCUCGGUGUAGCAGUGAAAUGCGUAGAUAUCGAGAGGAACACUCGUGGCGAAGGCGGGUUCCUGGACAUUAACUGACGCUGAGGCACGAAGGCCAGGGGAGCGAAAGGGAUUAGAUACCCGAGUAGUC